rnacentral:rRNA from 1 species
GGACGAACGCUGGCGGCGUGCCUAAUACAUGCAAGUCGAACGAACUCUGGUAUUGAUUGGUGCUUGCAUCAUGAUUUACAUUUGAGUGAGUGGCGAACUGGUGAGUAACACGUGGGAAACCUGCCCAGAAGCGGGGGAUAACACCUGGAAACAGAUGCUAAUACCGCAUAACAACUUGGACCGCAUGGUCCGAGUUUGAAAGAUGGCUUCGGCUAUCACUUUUGGAUGGUCCCGCGGCGUAUUAGCUAGAUGGUGGGGUAACGGCUCACCAUGGCAAUGAUACGUAGCCGACCUGAGAGGGUAAUCGGCCACAUUGGGACUGAGACACGGCCCAAACUCCUACGGGAGGCAGCAGUAGGGAAUCUUCCACAAUGGACGAAAGUCUGAUGGAGCAACGCCGCGUGAGUGAAGAAGGGUUUCGGCUCGUAAAACUCUGCUGUUAAAGAAGAACAUAUCUGAGAGUAACUGUUCAGGUAUUGACGGUAUUUAACCAGAAAGCCACGGCUAACUACGUGCCAGCAGCCGCGGUAAUACGUAGGUGGCAAGCGUUGUCCGGAUUUAUUGGGCGUAAAGCGAGCGCAGGCGGUUUUUUAAGUCUGAUGUGAAAGCCUUCGGCUCAACCGAAGAAGUGCAUCGGAAACUGGGAAACUUGAGUGCAGAAGAGGACAGUGGAACUCCAUGUGUAGCGGUGAAAUGCGUAGAUAUAUGGAAGAACACCAGUGGCGAAGGCGGCUGUCUGGUCUGUAACUGACGCUGAGGCUCGAAAGUAUGGGUAGCAAACAGGAUUAGAUACCCUGGUAGUCCAUACCGUAAACGAUGAAUGCUAAGUGUUGGAGGGUUUCCGCCCUUCAGUGCUGCAGCUAACGCAUUAAGCAUUCCGCCUGGGGAGUACGGCCGCAAGGCUGAAACUCAAAGGAAUUGACGGGGGCCCGCACAAGCGGUGGAGCAUGUGGUUUAAUUCGAAGCUACGCGAAGAACCUUACCAGGUCUUGACAUACUAUGCAAAUCUAAGAGAUUAGACGUUCCCUUCGGGGACAUGGAUACAGGUGGUGCAUGGUUGUCGUCAGCUCGUGUCGUGAGAUGUUGGGUUAAGUCCCGCAACGAGCGCAACCCUUAUUAUCAGUUGCCAGCAUUAAGUUGAGCACUCUGGUGAGACUGCCGGUGACAAACCGGAGGAAGGUGGGGAUGACGUCAAAUCAUCAUGCCCCUUAUGACCUGGGCUACACACGUGCUACAAUGGAUGGUACAACGAGUUGCGAACUCGCGAGAGUAAGCUAAUCUCUUAAAGCCAUUCUCAGUUCGGAUUGUAGGCUGCAACUCGCCUACAUGAAGUCGGAAUCGCUAGUAAUCGCGGAUCAGCAUGCCGCGGUGAAUACGUUCCCGGGCCUUGUACACACCGCCCGUCACACCAUGAGAGUUUGUAACACCCAAAGUCGGUGGGGUAACCUUUUAGGAACCAGCCGCCUAAGGUGGGACAGAUGAUUAGGGUG